rnacentral:rRNA from 1 species
UACGUAGGGGGCAAGCGUUGUCCGGAAUCAUUGGGCGUAAAGAGCGUGUAGGCGGCCCGAUAAGUCCGCUGUGAAAGUCCAGGGCUCAACCCUGGAAUGCCGGUGGAUACUGUCGGGCUCGAAUCCGGAAGAGGUGAGUGGAAUUCUUGGUGUAGCGGUGAAAUGCGCAGAUAUCAGGAGGAACACCAAUGGCGAAGGCAGCUCACUGGGACGGUAUUGACGCUGAGACGCGAAAGCGUGGGGAGCAAACAGG